CAAAUAUCCAAGCUUUGCCCUGUGUUGUGCAUUGAUAAAACCAAGUUUAACCAUUUAAGCUUGCAAGUCUCAAACUGUGCAUUUCAGUUUUCGUCUUGGAUUUUGCAGAUUUUACUAUAAAAAUAAACAAAGCAUUGAUUUUAGAAAUCUUGUUGCCUAGGAAAAGGCUAAUAGUGAUUUGGGUUAUGUCACUUCCCAGGUCCUCCAGGGCACACACUGGUGCUUUAUAAACAUCAGCAGAGCCAUCUGCAACCUUUUGUUCAGGCUGAGAACUCCAAAGCCAUGGGGAGUCUUCUCAUAAGCAAGUGAGAAACUGAGCUUCAGUGAACUGAAGUCCACUCUAAGUUGAUCACUGGAUAUCAUGAAUAGAGAUGAGGGAAAGAAAAGGUGUGUAGAUUUUUUUGUACACGUGGCACUGAACAGACUUACAUGAUAACUGCUGAAGCUUGGCUUGUGUGUUAGAAAAGCACAAAACUAUGGGUGAGUUCAUCUAUUCAUUUGUCAUGUGACCGAUGUUGGAGAUAACCUGCUUGUAUU
ensembl:lncRNA